CCUACGGGUGGCAGCAGCGGGGAAUAUUGGACAAUGGGCGAAAGCCUGAUCCAGCAAUGCCGCGUGUGUGAAGAAGGUCUUCGGAUUGUAAAGCACUUUCGACGGGGACGAUGAUGACGGUAUCUGGGGAAUAAGCCCCGGCUAACUUCGUGCCAGCAGCCGCGGUAAUACGAAGGGGGCUAGCGUUGCUCGGAAUGACUGGGCGUAAAGGGCGCGUAGGCGGUUUAUGCAGUCAGAUGUGAAAUCCCCGGGCUUAACCUGGGAACUGCAUUUGAGACGCAUAGACUAGAGGUCGAGAGAGGGUUGUGGAAUUCCCAGUGUAGAGGUGAAAUUCGUAGAUAUUGGGAAGAACACCGGUGGCGAAGGCGGCAACCUGGCUCGAUACUGACGCUGAGGCGCGAAAGCGUGGGGAGCAAACAGGAUUAGAUACCCCAGUAGUC
rnacentral:rRNA from 1 species